rnacentral:rRNA from 1 species
UACGGAGGAUCCAAGCGUUAUCCGGAUUCAUUGGGUUUAAAGGGUGCGUAGGCGGACUGAUAAGUCAGCGGUGAAAUCUCUCAGCUUAACUGAGAAACUGCCGUUGAUACUGUCAGUCUUGAGUACAGAUGAUGUGGGCGGAAUAUGACAUGUAGUGGUGAAAUACUUAGAUAUGUCAUAGAACACCGAUUGCGAAGGCAGCUCACAAAACUGUCACUGACGCUGAGGCACGAAAGCGUGGGGAUCAAACGGG